rnacentral:rRNA from 1 species
CAAUAGCGUAUAUUAAAGUUGUUGCAGUUAAAAAGCUCGUAGUUGAAUUUCUGUACAGUCCCAAUUUUGGCUUCGGUCAGGUUGUGGAUUGUGCAUCCGCUUGCAAAUCUAGUUCGGCAUUCACUUGUUGGCUAGGGGAGUAAGCUUUUUACUUUGAAAAAAUUAGAGUGUUUCAAGCAGGCAAUGGCUCGAAUACAUUAGCAUGGAAUAAUGGAAUAGGACUUUUGUCCAUUUGAUUGGUUAUUGGACUUAGGUAAUGAUUAAAAGGGACAGUUGGGGGCAUUAGUAUUUAAUUGUCAGAGGUGAAAUUCUUGGAUUUAUUAAAGACUAACUUAUGCGAAAGCAUUUGCCAAGGAUGUUUNCAUUAA